CUAACUAUGAGUGACUAUGGAAAGAAGAAAAUUAUGGGUGUGUAUGAGAAGGGUGCGUUAUGAGGUUUGCAAUAAAGUUGAUGAAAAGAACAAGUUUGUGGUUUGUGAAGAAGGGACUAUGUGAAUGGUUGUAAGAAUAAGAUGGAUGUGGUAUUAAAUUGUGUGAAAAAUGAUGUGUGAAGAAGGAGGAUAUAUGGUAAAGGUGGAUAUGGUUUGGUAGUAUGAAAAAGAGAGAAAGAUAUUAUUUUGAAGAAAAAAACAAAAGUAAGUUGGAAGAGUUUGUGUAAUAGAGAGAUGAGAAUUUAUUUUGCAGUGGAAGGAGUUGUUUUUGAUGAAAAGGCGUGUUUGGAUGAAAUUUUCUUCUGAGAUUCAACACGUCUCAAGGCUUUUGUUUCCAAAAUUAAAAAAGAAAAUGAUUCUUCCCCUUGGCCCUUUUUUGUUUUCGGUUUUUCCAUUUCAAAUUUAUAUGGGAGCUCUCAUUCAUUGGGCGACGCUUUCUUUAUUGGUGUCAUUGGCUGAGUCUCAUAUGAAAUUGAGAGAUAAUGCUUUUGAUUGAAGAGUGAGGGCAUCAUUUAUGAUGUUGGUCCCUAGGUGUUAUGAGUGUGAUUUAAUCAUUGGGCAUGUGAUCCUUAUAUAGUGCAUACUAGGGUUUUAUUGAUUAAAAUCCCUAAAAUACCCCUAGAUAUUUAUCCUAUAUAUUUUGUGGGAAUGAAAAUAAGAUCAAAAUAAAAAUUAAAUUUUUUCAAUAAAAACAAAUAAAAUCAAAUUGAUUAA
rnacentral:lncRNA from 1 species